UAAUUGAAGAGUUUGAUCAUGGCUCAGAUUGAACGCUGGCGGCAGGCCUAACACAUGCAAGUCGAGCGGAAACGAAGAGGUGCUUGCACCUCUGGCGUCGAGCGGCGGACGGGUGAGUAAUGCUUGGGAAUAUGCCUUAUGGUGGGGGACAACAGUUGGAAACGACUGCUAAUACCGCAUGAUGUCUACGGACCAAAGUGGGGGACCUUUGGGCCUCACGCCAUA
rnacentral:rRNA from 1 species